GCGAAGCCGUCAAAAACCGCGAAACACAACACGUCAACACCCUGAGAUCUGCAACAGCUUCAAUCUCUCUCUCACUCUCGGCUCAGAUCCCACGCCGAUCUUCCUCAGCUUCCGUCCCUGAGAUGCAAAUUUGGGACUUUUCAGGGCAAACAACCCAGUUAUUCAUCAAUGACAAAAUGACAAAUGAUUCUCUUUGUCAACUUGGAAAGGAGUGAGAGCACAAGCAGCAAUGAUCU